UACGUAGGUGGCGAGCGUUUGUCCGGAUUUACUGGGCGUAAAGAGCGCGCAGGCGGCUGGGCAAGUCCGAUGUGAAAGCUUCCGGCUUAACUGGAAAAUUGCAUCGGAAACUGCUCGGCUUGAAGGUGGGAGAGGGUAGCGGAAUUCCCGGUGUAGUGGUGAAAUGCGUAGAUAUCGGGAGGAACACCAGUGGCGAAGGCGGGCUACCUGGCCCACUCUUGACGCUGAGGCGCGAAAAGCUAGGGGAGCAAACGGGG
rnacentral:rRNA from 1 species